rnacentral:lncRNA from 1 species
UGGCCAGGUGGAGUGGCUCAUGCCUGUAAUCCUAGUUCUUCUGUUCCUGGACCAAACCGAGGGUUUGGCUGCUAUUUCUUGCGGCUCAAUAAUGAGAUGCAGAUGAACUGGGAGAGAAGGGAGUUUUUAUUUCUGUAACCAGGUACAGGGAGAAGGCCUAGAAAUUAUUGCCAGACCAACUCAAAGUUACAAAGUUUUCUAGAGCUUAUCUACCUGCUAAGCAAUGUGUCUAUCAGUAAGUGUGCACUCAUCUGAAGACAUUAGUGAUGAACUUCUUCUAAUCUAGAACAAAGGUCUGAGUCCUGAAGACCUUCCUCUGGAGCCUCAGUAAGUUUAUUUUAUUUUUUAGUAUAAGGU